rnacentral:rRNA from 1 species
UACAGAGGAGCCAAGCGUUGUCCGGAUUGACUGGGCGUAAAGCGCACGCAGGCGGACGCGCGCGUGGGGUGUGAAAUCUGGCCGCUUAACGGCCAGGCGCCAUCCCAUACGGCGUGUCUGGAGUGAUGCAGAGGUCGAUGGAAUUGCCGGUGUAGUGGUGAAAUGCGUAGAGAUCGGGAGGAACAUCAGUGGCGAAGGCGGCCAUCUGGGACAACACUGACGCUGAAGCACGAAAGCGUGGGGAGCAAACAGG